UAUACAAAUGCAUAAUCCAGAGGUAUGUGAUGCUAUAUGGAAAACUUUAAAAGAUAUCCUGUUCCAUCUAGAGAACAUUGUGAGAAGUGCGUCCAGGUUCGAGUCCUAACUGCAGCAUCACUGAUAAGAAUCUAUCGAAAUUGGAAAAAAAUUUGAAAAUGUAAUCUUCCAAACUUAAAACAAGCGAAAUAUAAAUUUAUAAAGGGAUAUAUAUCUAAUCUAACACCAAUCCAUAUUACCGUGGACAAACUACUAUACCAAAAUGAGUCCUAUUCUGAAUACCUAGCAGAGACCUUAUGGCACAUAGACACCCUGCCCAUGGGCGUGGUAGAGAAUAUUUUUAAAGCUCGUUUAAUCGCAAACGAAGCCUGACUGUGGAAUCUCUCCAAAUACCAUAAACCAAAGGUGGAAUUGAAAAUUAUCGUGUAGAUAAGGAUGCAUCUUAGAUAUUUUAAUGGUGUCCCAAUAAACAAGACAAUCUAUCUAGACAAUUCACGACAAAUUGUUGGAAAAGGCUGUAGUCCGUUAUGCUAUGACCAAAGAAAAACAAGAGAAUCUGAGAAGACAUACUGUUGUAAUACCAACUAUUGUAACGAUGCCUUCAUUGUAUAUUCAAGAUCAAACAAUUUUCUGAUCCAGAUAACAUUUUUUGCCUUGAUAUAUACCCAGAUAUAAACAUUAGCAG